rnacentral:rRNA from 1 species
GGAUUAGAUACCCUGGUAGUCCACGCCGUAAACGAUGAGAACUAGGUGUUGGGGAAUUUAUUUCUUCAGUACCGCAGCUAACGCGUUAAGUUCUCCGCCUGGGGAGUACGGCCGCAAGGCUAAAACUCAAAGGAAUUGACGGGGGCCCGCACAAGCGGUGGAGCAUGUGAUUUAAUUCGAUGCAACGCGAAGAACCUUACCUACUCUUGACAUCCCUGAAACCUGCUAGAGAUAGCAGGGUGCCUUCGGGAAUCAGGUGACAGGUGUUGCAUGGCUGUCGUCAGCUCGUGCCG